GCGCCUGUAGCUCAAAGGAGUAGAGUGCUGGCCCCAUAUGCCAGAGGUGGUGGGUUCAAACCCAGCCCUGGCCA
rnacentral:tRNA from 1 species